rnacentral:rRNA from 1 species
UACGGAGGGGGCGAGCGUUAUUCGGAAUCACUGGGCGUAAAGGGCGCGUAGGCGGCUUUAUAAGUCGGGGGUGAAAGCCUGUGGCUCAACCACAGAAUUGCCUUCGAUACUGUAGAGCUUGAGACCGGAAGAGGUAAGUGGAACUGCGAGUGUAGAGGUGAAAUUCGUAGAUAUUCGCAAGAACACCAGUGGCGAAGGCGGCUUACUGGUCCGGUUCUGACGCUGAGGCGCGAAAGCGUGGGGAGCAAACAGG